rnacentral:rRNA from 1 species
AACGCUAGCUACAGGCUUAACACAUGCAAGUCGAGGGGUAACAGGGGAGCUUGCUUCCGCUGACGACCGGCGAAUGGGUGAGUAACGCGUAUCCAACCUGCCGCACGCCCGGGGACAGCCCUUGGAAACGAGGAUUAACCCCCGAUAGGUGGAGUUGCCGCAUGACGGCUCCAUGAAACAGGCAUGCGAUGGGGAUGCGUUGGAUUAGCUUGUUGGCGGGGUAACGGCCCACCAAGGCAACGAUCCAUAGGGGUUCUGAGAGGAAGGUCCCCCACAUUGGAACUGAGACACGGUCCAAACUCCUACGGGAGGCAGCAGUGAGGAAUAUUGGUCAAUGGGCGAGAGCCUGAACCAGCCAAGUAGCGUGAGGGAUGAAGGUAUUAUGUAUUGUAAACUUCUUUAGCUGUGGAGCAAUAAUCGCCAUGCAUGGCGAGAUGAGAGUACACAGAGAAUAAGGAUCGGCUAACUCCGUGCCAGCAGCCGCGGUAAUACGGAGGAUCCGAGCGUUAUCCGGAUUUAUUGGGUUUAAAGGGUGCGCAGGCGGCUUUCUAAGUCAGUGGUUAAAUAGCGGUGCUCAACGCCGUCCCGCCAUUGAUACUGGAGAGCUUGAUUGCGGUCGAGGUUUGCGGAAUU